rnacentral:rRNA from 1 species
GAUGAACGCUGGCGGCGUGCCUAAUACAUGCAAGUCGAGCGAACGGACGAGAAGCUUGCUUCUCGGAUGUUAUCGGCGCACGGGUGAGUAACACGUGGAUAACCUACCUAUAAGACUGGGAUAACUUCGGGAAACCGGAGCUAAUACCGGGUGAUCUUUUAAACCGCAUGGUUCAAAAAUGAAAGACGGUCUUUCUGUCACUAAUAGAUGGUUCCUCGCUGCAUUAGCUAGUUGGUAAGGUAACGGCUUACCAAGGCAACGAUGCAUAGCCGACCUGAGAGGGUGAUCGGCAAACCUGGACCUGAGAAACGGCCCAGCCUCCUACGGGAGGCAGCAGUGGGGAAUCUUGCGCAAUGGGCGAAAGCCUGCCGGAGAACCGCCGCGUGAGGGAUGAAGGUCUUCGGAUGGUAAAACUCUGUUAUUAGGGAAGAACAUAUGUGUAAGUAAAUGUGCACAUCUUGACGGUACCUAAUCAGAAAGCCACGGCUAACUACGUG